rnacentral:lncRNA from 12 species
UUUUUUUUUUUAAGGUGUCUGGACCUUCAAUCACAAUAUACCAAGGAAGAGACUCCACCCCCACCACACUGCUGGAGGUUAAUGGGUGCCUUGAUAGACAAGCCCUGGGGCUGGGGAUGCAGAAUUUGCAGGGAGUUGGGGGGCAGUGAUCUUACCUGGGUCACCGGAGAGAAUAAAAGCCAAGUAACUAUUCAGCAUCCCCUCUUCCCCACCAACCUUUAGCAUUUCUCUCUUCCUCCUGUCAGUCUCCCAGCUAUCAAGUGUGGACUCGACAGGAAUGUUGCAAGGAAAAACUAAUUAAACGGCAGUACAAUGCUUUGAAAAUAUUAAGUGUCAUGUAAAUGCCUAAUGCUAAUAAUAAUCUUGAUGGUGGUAAUUAUGUGCCAGGAAGCGCAUCCCAGACAGCCCAGCACUGAGCCCAAAUGUGCACGUCUCGGAGGAUCCUAUGGAACGCCCAUCGUUUCUGCUCCAGCUCAGAAUGGCCUGGUGGAAGAUGGGAGCCCCAGCUUCCAGAUACCGCUGCCACUACCGCUGGCCUGGAGCUUUGGAGCACUGAGGUCUGCCAAAACCAGUGGGGACUUUGAGGUAGCAAAUUAUGGUGAGUCAUGAUGGAGGCUUUUGGGAAUUUCCACCCCAGAAAUCGCUGGGUCUUGGAGGGGUUUUAUACAAUCACCUAGAUACUUUAAUGACACUCCUCACCCUUGAACCUGCCCUAAUUUCAUUUCUUAGUGACUAGGAGAGUAGUUACAAGUUUAGGUUCCUCUAGCUGCCGUUCUUGGGUCUCCUUCAAUUUGGUUUGAGGUUUAGCUUUUACUGCAACAUGAUGACAUACCCCUUCCCAUUUGGGAAGUGACUGAUUUUUGAUAGUGAUAGUGCCCUGACUAUUUAUUUAAAGAUUUUAUUCAUUUAUUCAUGAGAGACACACAGAGAGAGGCAGAAACACAGGCAGAGAGAGAAGCAGGGUCCCUGUAAGGAGCCCGAUAUGGGACUCGAUCCCACAUCCCAGGAUCAUGCCCUGAGCUGAAGGCAGACAUUGAACCGCUGAGCCACCCAGGCAUCCCUAUAGCUGACUUUUAAAUUUUAUUAUUCAAUAAAAUAAAUUUAUUAUUCA